rnacentral:lncRNA from 1 species
UUCAAUCAAGAUCUAACUAAUCAUAUCAUGAUCUAUAGAUUAUCCAUCAUAUUUCAAACUCCAUAUGUCAUAAUCUCUUACGAUCCUUUUAUACAUAAUCUCAAUAUUUAAUCAAAAUUUAUAAAUAUUUCUCCCACUACAAUCAUCAAAGAUCUAUACUAUAAUGUCCCUAGUGUCUAUCCACUUACACCCAUUCUAUAUCU